GCUGUGCUAUGCUGUAACGACACGAGUGUUCGAAAUUGCUUAAGGAUGAUGAAAUUAUCAACAGCAGCAAAUGGAACAACAGUGUCAACCUUCUCAUGGCUAAGAUGGAUCAUCGAGACAACCGGACGUUUUUGUACCGACUCAUGUAGCUAAUUAUGAACCUCAACAGCAUACCAAACUGGGGAUCGAAUCGCGAGAAAUCCGGUGCCUUCAAGCAUCACUGGUUGGGCACAAUCGUACCAGGUCACUGUUUGCUGGAUCAGCUGGACAAUCAUGAUAGCAUGAUAGGCAUUCAGAACUAUACCGAUGCAAUCGAGCUUGUCUACAGGGGCCACAGUCUAUCUGUUUUUGGGAUUACAGCCACUCCAAUGUGGUGCAGGUGAUGGUGAACAAUGUUUAAUACCCAGGUAUCCAAUAAGCAUUAGUAUAAGCAGUAAAUCAAUCGUUUAUUAGCAUCCCUUGCGUUUUAUACUGCAUGUUGCUGUUUAUCAGCCUUUUGCUUGCAUAAUUGUUGUAAAUUGGCAUCCACAAUUCUAUUUAAAUUUUUCUUGUCGGUAACUAGCUGCAAAUAAGCAUUGUCAGCACUAUAAGAGAGCUAGCAGUAAAGUAGCCGCAUAUUUUGCCAAAAUAGCAUUUAGGCCAACUUAAAUGCUUAUUGGCUUGCAAUAAGCAUAGGGUAGUAUCUAGGUGUUGAGAUAAAAUGCGCAAGUAUCAAAUCACCCUUUACCAAU